rnacentral:rRNA from 1 species
UGCGGAGGGCGCGAGCGUUAAUCGGAAUAACUGGGCGUAAAGGGCACGCAGGCGGGCUUUUAAGUGAGAUGUGAAAUCCCCGGGCUUAACCUGGGAAUAGCAUUUCAGACUGGGAGUCUAGAGUACUCUAGGGAGGGGUAGAAUUCCACGUGUAGCGGUGAAAUGCGUAGAGAUGUGGAGGAAUACCGAAGGCGAAGGCAGCCCCUUGGGGAUGUACUGACGCCCAUGUGCGAAAGCGUGGGGAGCAAACAGG